rnacentral:misc_RNA from 1 species
ACCAUUGUCCAGCCAACUGAUCAGCUUGAAUGGAUGAACUUGAACUCCCACCACUGCUGUCAUAGUUGAAGUAAGAACCAUUCCACAAUUUCUCAUAGGCACGUUUUGCCUUCUGAAAUUUGAACCAAAAAUAGUGUUCAGCAUCCCUUUCAUCAGCUACACGAGCCAGGGCCGAAGCAGCCUGCAAGGCUGCCACCCAUAAACCACCACUAUAUGCACUAACACCAGUGACGGACCACGUAUCAUAAGUCUGAUCAGGGAAGCCAUCAUUCUCAAUCAUCCCA